rnacentral:rRNA from 1 species
GCUUGUCUCAAAGAUUAAGCCAUGCAUGUCUCAGUAUAAGCUUGUGCAUAGUGAAACUGCGAACGGCUCAUUAUAACAGUUAUAAUUUGUUUGGUGUUCAAGUUUACAUGGGUAACUGUGGCAAUUCUAGAGCUAAUACAUGCGUAAAGUCCCGACUCUUUCUGGGGAGGGAUGUAUUUAUUAGAUAAAAAACCAAUGCGGGUUCUGCCCGGUUUUGUGUUGAAUCAUAGUAACUUUUCGAAUCGCAUGGCUUCACGCCGGCGAUAGUUCAUUCAAAUUUCUGCCCUAUCAGCUUUCGACGGUAGUGUAGUGGACUACCGUGGCGUUAACGGGUAACGGAGAAUUAGGGUUCGAUUCCGGAGAGGGAGCCUGAGAAACGGCUACCACAUCUAAGGAAGGCAGCAGG